UCCAGAGUGGUUGUACCAGCUUGCAAUCCCACCAGCAGUGGAGGAGUGUUCCUUUUCUUCACAUCAUGCAUAUUCCAGAGAGGUGACACCCAAGAAUGCUGCUAUUGUUACAUCAUGUGACUAUCUUGCCCAAGACAAGGCAAUGCCCUAAAUCUAACAUUUAUUACAGUAUUUUUAAUAAGUAACACUUGAUGCUGUGCUUACUACUCAGUUCUUCCAGUUCUUAAAUCUUUCAAUUAAAGCUAAGUAAGGCUAGAUGGCUAUGAAAUUGAUGGAAAUCUCCAACUGACAGUGGGGGAACAUGGAACCGUUUGAAACUUCAUGUAAAGGAAGCUCUGGAAUGCUGAGCAGAUCUUAAUGAAAUAUUCUGCUGCAAACUUGAAGCAAAACAACCAAAGCAAAUCAACAACAGCAGCAGCAACAACAACAACAACAACAAAAAGAACACAGAUUGAAGCAUGGACAGGGAAGUCUCUGCUCAUGAGGUUUCUGAUGGCAACAUGGACUCUAUGAGAAAUUACGCUAGAAGCCAUUCAUGCUUUGUUCGGUCAGAUUCUGAUUUCAUUCAUUCUGUGUCUUGAAAAUAUUCCUGAGACUGGACUAAAAUGUAAUGGGCUAAGUUAUUCAAUGGAAGAAAUUUCAAAACAUUAUGAUAUCCACUAUAUUUAGUGAGGUUUACAGUGAAAAUCUAAAGGAGAUAAGAAAGCAUGCAAGUUGGUGAAGAUAUGGUCGUAAAGGGUAUAUAAAAUGGGUUUGGAUAAAUUAGUAAUAAAUGUUAACACAUUAACAUAAUCACAUAAUACACUGGGAGCAUAAGAAAUGUAUCUUCAGGGAAAGACCUACUAUGGCAAACUCUAAAAUUAUAUAGUGAAUAUUCAUUUAGAAGGAAGGUUCCUUGAAAUGAUAAAGCCUUCGAGGCACUCUGCUUGAAAAUUGCUUUCAAGGGAAGUACGUUUCCAGUAUGAGCCAUUAAGGCGUAUGGAGGCUGUUCCCAUUGUUGUUUACGGGAGCCAGGCCACAUCUCUAACUGGUAGCAGAACAAGGAUUUGCUCAUGUGGUGCUCACUGUGCAAGCAUACAAGAUAGAAGACAAAAAAAAAAAAUACAAGAUAUGUCAUGAAGCUUUGUACCAAGGUUAUAGAAAGCUUUUGAGUGCAGGCAAUGGAUGGCAGAGCCAAAUUCCCUGAAGAAGAUCCUGAGAAGUCACUGUAUAAAUCUUUGUAGAAUAUUCGACACCUCAAGAUGUUGGAACUGUUUGACACCUUGCUUAUUUGGUAAGGAAAGUAGCGGGCUUUGAGUGGAGCUGUCUCAACUGAAAGUCCAGAUGAUGUCACCAACAGCACGUCUGGAUGAACGGGACUACCAGCCCCUUGAAGCACAGAUGAUUUCAUAAUGACCCCAGACAUAAAAUGUGGAGUUGCAGAAUUUUGUUUGGGGUUCACAAGAUUUCAUUCAGUCUCACUUUAUUCUGAUCUUUUCGGCUUCUACCUCACUUUUUGGUUUUGAGUGGUAAUGUUUCCUCUAUAACAUUGAAUGUUUGAUAUAUGCACUUUGUGUUGUUAUUAUUAUUAUUAAUUUUUAAUUCCCUUUAAAAUUAAAAUGUUUUCUGUACAAUAAAUUCCAAUUGCAAUCUCCCUA